GAUGAGUCUGCGUACCAUUAGCUAGUAGGCGGGGUAAGAGCCCACCUAGGCUACGAUGGUUAGCGGGUCUGAGAGGAUGAUCCGCCACACUGGAACUGGAACACGGACCAGACUCCUACGGGAGGCAGCAGUGAGGAAUUUUGCGCAAUGGGGGCAACCCUGACGCAGCGACGCCGCGUGGGUGCUGAAGGCUUUCGAGUCGUAAAGCCCUGUCAAGUGGGAAGAAACGUUGACGUAUGAAUAGUGCGUCAAUUUGACGGUACCGCUAAAGGAAGCACCGGCUAACUCCGUGCCAGCAGCCGCGGUAAUACGGAGGGUGCAAGCGUUGUUCGGAAUUACUGGGCGUAAAGGGCGCGUAGGCGGCGCUGUAAGUCAGAUGUGAAAGUCCACGGCUCAACCGUGGAAGUGCAUCUGAUACUGCAGCGCUUGAGUAUCGGAGGGGAAAGUAGAAUUCCCGGUGUAGAGGUGAAAUUCGUAGAUAUCGGGAGGAAUACCGGUGGCGAAGGCGACUUUCUGGACGAAUACUGACGCUGAUGCGCGAAAGCGUGGGGAGCAAACAGGAUUAGAUACCCUGGUAGUCCACAGCUGUAAA
rnacentral:rRNA from 1 species